rnacentral:tRNA from 1 species
GGGGGGAUUCCAGAGCGGCCAAAUGGAUCAGACUGUAAAUCUGCUGUUGUAAUGACUUCGGAGGUUCGAAUCCUCCUCCCCCCA